ACAAUAAAGGGAUUAAGCCUGUCCGUUUUUCAACAACAAAAUUAUUGAAAUUUUUAAAAAUUGUUGAAAAAUACAUAUCAUAACAACCUCCGAUUUGCAUCGUAUAAGAAUACAUAUAAAAGAUCUACUUAUUUUUGACAAAACAUUUUAAAUUUUUUGAAAUUUCAAUAUUCCCAAGCUGUGCUGCAUCUACCUGUAGUCUUCUGCCAUGGGUUAACCCGCCGAAUCUAUUAAACCCAGUAAGAUUAGGAUGGUUAGUGGCUCAAGGAGGAAGUGCAUCUGAGGUUUACCAAUGUCCCAUUGAUUCGAUGAUAAAUGUUCAAAAAACUUGUAAUAUAUUGUAAAUUUUUUAACAGGUUCUGGUGUCGACCAAAGCAAUAAAUUUAA